UACGUAGGGUGCGAGCGUUAAUCGGAAUUACUGGGCGUAAAGCGUGCGCAGGCGGUUUUGUAAGCCAGAUGUGAAAUCCCCGGGCUCAACCUGGGAAUGGCAUUUGGGACUGCAAGGCUCGAGUGCGGCAGAGGAGACUGGAAUUCCUGGUGUAGCAGUGAAAUGCGUAGAUAUCAGGAGGAAUACCGAUGGCGAAGGCAGGUCUCUGGGCUGACACUGACGCUCAUGCACGAAAACGUGGGGAGCAAACAGG
rnacentral:rRNA from 1 species